UUUGCCCAUAUUUCUACGGGAAGCAGCAGUAGGGAAUCUUCCACAAUGGACGAAAGUCUGAUGGAGCAAUGCCAUGUGAACGACGAAGGCCAGACAGGUCGUAAAGUUCUUUUAGAGGGGAAAAAUCUGAUGGUACCCUCUGAAUAAGUGACAGCAAACUAUGUGCCAGCAGCUGCGGUAAUACAUAGGUCGCGAGCGUUAUUCGGAUUUAUUGGGCGUAAAGCAAGCGCAGGCGGAUGAAUAAGUUCUGCAUUAAAAGCAGCUGCUUAACAGUUGUUUGUGCCGAAUACUAUUCAUCUAGAAUGUGGUAGAAAGUUUUGGAAUUAAAUAUGGAGCGGUGGAAUGUGUAGAUAUAUUUAAGAACACCAGAGGCGAAGGCGAAAACUUAGGCCAUUAUUGACGCUUAGGCUUGAAAGUGUGGGUAGCAAAUGGGAUUAGAUACCCCAGUAGUCCACACCGUAAACGAUGGGUAUUAGAUGUCGGGACUUGAGUUUCGGCGUUGUAGCUUACGUGUUAAAUACCCCGCCUGGGUAGUACAUAUGCAAAUAGAAAUCAAG
rnacentral:rRNA from 1 species